AGCAAGACAUUGAUCAAGGGCGUUUGUAUCUCCCUCCAUUGUAUGACUUUUCCUGGCUCUCGUUGAACAGGCAGCAGACUUGGUCAACAUGCUUUCUAGUCUACACGUGAACGUCCUUACCAUUUUCUUUGUCCUUUCUCCAUGGCUUGCUAGUGGUCAAUUCAAUGUUCCUGACAGACCUUAUAUUAAUGCACUGCCCACUGGCUUUUUGUCUAACUUUGACGGAUGGGCCAAGUAUGAGUGGCUACCGAAGAACAGCUCAUGUGUACCGUCUUGUGGAUAUGGCCGUACCAUCAAGGCUACUUAUGAGUGUUGG